GUUACGGCGGUCAUAGCGUGGGGGAAACGCCCGGUUCCAUUCCGAACCCGGAAGCUAAGGCCCACAGCGCCGAUGGUACUGCAGCCGGGAGGUUGUGGGAGAGUAGGUCGCCGCCGGACAUU
rnacentral:rRNA from 1 species